UCACCUCAUUCAAAAAUAGAAUGUACAUAAAGUACAAUCAUGACAAUUAAAAUAGAUUAAUAAAACCUAACAUAUCAUUGCCCACCUUUUUGCAGUGGAACAUUGCCAAGGUGCUUAAAUGAUUCUGACUGUCCUUUUUUGGAUGCAUCUCUCUCUCUCUGUCUCUCCCUCUCUCUCUCUCUCACCCUGCCAGAAGCAACCACUAAAGUAAAUUCUCUUUAUUACUCUCUUGCUUCUUUUUAUAGUAGUGGUACUGAAUCUUGGUUAUACAGUGAAAUUACCUGGGGAGCUUUAAAAUAAUUGUGCUUGGGAUCCACCCUGAGAGCCUCUGAUUUUAUUGGUUUAGAGUACAGCCUUCAUAUUCUGUGGCUGAUAGGAUAAUAUCAUUUUUGCAAAAAGUCUUAGUUCAUGAGAGCUUUAUGUAAGGGAUAGACAAACAUUGUAAAUUCUCUGACUUGACUCUCCUCAACUUCCAUUAUGAAAAGAUAAUACCAAGGCCACGAUGCAUUCAGUCCCCGUCUCCUUCUCCUUCUUCAUACAAGACUGCAUGAGAAAGACACAAAAAUGUCACAUAAUGAGCUAUCACAUGAAUGGAUUUUUUUCCCCAUAUUUUGACUGGCUUUCCUGCAAUCGAAAGAGGAGGAAUUAUCUUCUUCAACAAGCCUUGUGAAUAGACUGCACUGAAAAUAGCUCAGACCAGGAAGAUUCUAUUCCAACUAUCCUUACCUCAGGAAUACAUUUUUAAGGUAAUAAUCCUGAGAACCAGGAAGUUGUCCUUGUCUGUGAUAUUUGUUCUUCAUUGUGUAGUGUGACUUAGGCCUAUUUUCUAUUGUUCUAUCUUUGUAAAGACAGAUCACAACUGAUCAUAUAGUUGCAGAUUUCUUGAGGUACCCCCUAGCCCUGUAGUUCCAGGAGUGUUUAAUCUUUCAUCGUGUAUCUCUUACUACAAAACUUUAUACAGUGUUGGGACGUUUUGAGACAAAAUAAACAAAUGGCUCGACCGUAUUUACUAAUAUAA
rnacentral:lncRNA from 1 species